GCAGAGAAUAGUUAAUGUAUGAUCCUGCUUACUAUCCAGUUCUCUUACUGCAUAAUGAUACCUCCUUCAUACUGAAUACUCCCUUCUACUCAAACUAUGGAUUUUUUUUUUGCUCUUUUUCCCCGUUACUCACCUCUACACCAGGUAACUAGCUGAGAGCAUUGCAGGCUGUCUACAGGAAAUCUUACAAGCCAUAAAGAGGCCUACAAUGGACAAAGAGAUUGGUAUAGUGACUGAUAGUGAUUUCAAGAGAACAUGAUGGUGAAACUCACCAGAGGAAGAAGGUUCUGGGAACAUCUGUUAGAUCAGAUCUCUGGUAGCAGGGAUGAUGGAUCAAUCUCCAAGAAGCCCCAAAUGGAGCAUGGGGUCCCCAUGAAGACACCAAAUAGUCAUCUGUUCAUCAUAUGUAAUGCUCCCUAGGUCAGUGAGGCAAGGUUGUUUCCCUUCCUCCUUUGUUCUGUGCAGUUAGUGGGAACAUAAAUCAACAGAUUUUGCUAUUACUAAUUAAUAGGAAGUGAGAUCUAUCUAAGGAAGAGAAGCAAUAUAUAUUAUAAUCCAGUCCUUUGUCCCAAAUAAGACAAAGGGUGCUAAAUGGUAGGCACCAAUUAAUCUGUUUCCAGACUAAGUACAUGAUUGACUCUUUUCUGAUAUAGCUUUGUACAAAAUGUCUUCAGAAUGAUGGCAGAGCCAAGGGAAAGCUGUAGAUAAGACCUUAACCUUCCAGGUAGAAAGGAGAGGGAGGAGCUUGAGUCCAGAGAAGCAGGGACUUAAGCAGAAAAGCAAAGCUUGAGGCAUGAGUACUUGAUUGUAACGGGUAUCUGCAAUGUGGCUCUUCUCAACGAUACAAUGAUCCAAGACAAUCCCAAAGGACUCAUGGUGGAAAAUGCUAUCCACAUCCAAAGAAAGAACUGAUGUCUGAAUACAGACUGAAACACAUUAUUUCCCUCUUCUUUUCUUUCUUGUUUCCUUCCUUUUUCAAGUCUUCUUGCACAAAAUGACUAACAUGUAAAUGUUUUACAUGAUUUCACAUGUAUAACCUAUAUCAGAUUGCUUACUGUCUCAGGAAGGGGGAGAGGAGGGGAGGAUAGAAUUUGGAACUCAAAACUUAAAAAAAACACAAAUGUUAAAAUUUGUUUUAACAUGUAAUUGAG
rnacentral:lncRNA from 1 species